UCGGAAUUACUGGGCGUAAAGGGCUCGUAGGCGGCCAACUAAGUCAGACGUGAAAUCCCUCGGCUUAACCGGGGAACUGCGUCUGAUACUGGAUGGCUUGAAUCCGGGAGAGGGAUGCGGAAUUCCAGGUGUAGCGGUGAAAUGCGUAGAUAUCUGGAGGAACACCGGUGGCGAAGGCGACAUCCUGGACCGGUAUUGACGCUGAGUGAGCGAAAGCAAGGGGAGCAAACGGG
rnacentral:rRNA from 1 species